rnacentral:rRNA from 1 species
AUGGAGGUAGAAACAUCUAAACACCUUUUCUUUACUUGCCCAGUUGCUAGGGUGGUUUGGAGAUCUAUUGGGGUUGUUUUGGGCACUGACAAUUGCCCCAACAACUACUGGCAAUAUUUCGUUUGGUGCAGCAAAUUUCUCCCUGGCAAAGAAAACUUUUAUACUGUGGGCUUAGCUGCUACCUGUUGGGCCAUCUGGUUGGCGCGUAACCGGGCCACUUUUGAGAAAAAGUUGAUUGAAACUCCUUUUGAGAUUGUUUUCUCCCUUUGUUCAUUGCUGUUGUAUUGGACAGGUUUGCAGAAAGAAGAGGCGGCUGGUGAGCUGCGCGCUGGUGCAGAGAUGAUCAGGGGCAACACGAUGCAGUUGAUGAAGUUGUGUAACUCUGUCAAGCAACCAAUACAGAGCUCGUGA